UACAUGGGGUGCAAACGUUGCUCGGAAUUAUUGGGCGUAAAGCGCACGUAGGCGGUUUGUUAAGUCGGAUGUGAAAUCCCUCGGCUCAACUGGGGAAGUGCAUCCGAAACUGGCAGGCUUGAGUACUAAAGAGGGUCACGGAAUUCCCGGUGUAGAGGUGAAAUUCGUAGAUAUCGGGAGGAACACCGGUGGCGAAGGCGGCGACCUGGGUAGAUACUGACGCUGAGGUGCGAAAGCGUGGGGAGCAAACAGG
rnacentral:rRNA from 1 species